rnacentral:misc_RNA from 1 species
GAAUUUGCUGAAAAAUUUGGCAUUAAAUAGGAACAUGAAUUCCCCUACUUGUAAAACUAUUGCUGGAAUUCUUGCACGGCAAUCUAGUAAGUCUUCGUGUUUUCUUCAUAUUAAGAAGAGGUUGUCCUCUAUGUUUAAUCUAUGUGCACCUAUCCAUCCUGAAUGCUCUUUUUUAAUGAAAACGAUGCAAGACCAAUGCGC